rnacentral:lncRNA from 10 species
GCAGACCGGAGCUGUUCCUAUUCGGCCAUCUUGGCUCCGCCAAAAUAGUGAAGAUCAAGCCAAGCACCACCCAGGCAGAAAGCAGAGAUAAAAAUAGGCACUGACCUGUCCUCCCUGACUGAAGACACCUGAAAGAAAAGCACAACAUUCAAACACUGUAAUUCAUUGAUGUACAAAAAGUGAAAUUUUCAACAUUAGGAAAUUCCUAAUAUCUACUCCUGGUACUUGGCUAUCUUAAAAAGUCAUCGUAUUUUUUUUGUUUGUUUUUGUUUUCUUCUUCUUCUUCUUUUUUUUUUUAAUCUGCUCACUUCUUAAGAAGGUCAUAUAAAGACAUGAACCAUGAGGAGGUAACAAUUGUUGGAGGUUAGGGUGGGGUAGAAAAAAAAUGGAUUAAGGAUCUGGAAAUUCAUGUUACAGUCCUAGCCCAGUCACUAAUUUACUACGAAAAUGACCUUAUCAUCGCUGGUCUCACUGUGGAGAAGUUGAAUUGGAAAGUAUCCUCUACCUUUGACAUUUCAAGGUUCAUUUCAUGCAGUUCCUCCCAAAAGCCUUUGCCACAGGCAGUUGGGAAAGAGAUUAAGCUUGUAGUUUGUUCUUUGAGUUUGAAAUUGCUCAACUUUUAAAACUUGGCCCAAAUAUAAACUGGUAAGGAACAACUCAUUCAUUCUUGUGACUUAUUUC